rnacentral:rRNA from 1 species
UACGGAGGAUCCAAGCGUUAUCCGGAAUCAUUGGGUUUAAAGGGUCCGUAGGCGGUUUAAUAAGUCAGUGGUGAAAGCCCAUCGCUCAACGGUGGAACGGCCAUUGAUACUGUUAAACUUGAAUUAUUAGGAAGUAACUAGAAUAUGUAGUGUAGCGGUGAAAUGCUUAGAGAUUACAUGGAAUACCAAUUGCGAAGGCAGGUUACUACCAAUGGAUUGACGCUGAUGGACGAAAGCGUGGGUAGCGAACAGG